UUAAAUCGGUAAAGACCAAAACCCUUUUUAGAAACGUAUUAAAGAUAUGUUAGGAAGGCUGGCAAGUGAUUCAAUUGCAUGACCAAGGCUGGAUUAAGACAACACGUAUUGCUAAAAUACUUGUAUCUAAUUAUGAAAUUUCCACAAUACUAUCUGAACUAAUAACGAGUAUUGUUUACUUCUUGUUUGCUCCAACAACGAACUAGAAAUACCGAAAUAGGGGUCGUCAAGAAGUUUCUAUUUUAAUAAUUAUCAAUAAUGCACUUAAAUACUUGGACCUAAAUGAAUAAUAAUAUAUAUGAAGGCUGAUAUAUGUAUAACGAUAAAGAACGAGCGGAUGGCUGGAUACUUAUUUUCUCGUCAGCGUGACGCAUUUUA